rnacentral:rRNA from 1 species
UACAGAGGUCCCAAGCGUUGUUCGGAUUCACUGGGCGUAAAGGGCGCGUAGGCGGUUGGAUAAGUCAGCUGUGAAAACCACGGGCUUAACUCGUGGCCUGCAGUUGAGACUGUCUGGCUUGAGUGUGGGAGAGGAGAGUGGAAUUCCAGGUGUAGCGGUGAAAUGCGCAGAUAUCGGGAGGAACACCAAUGGCGAAGGCAGCUCGCUGGGACGUUACUGACGCUGAGACGCGAAAGCGUGGGGAGCAAACAGG